AUUGAACGCUGGCGGAAUGCUUUACACAUGCAAGUCGAACGGUAGAGGGGGCAACCCCUCGAGAGUGGCGAACGGGUGAGUAAUAUAUCGGAACGUGCCCAGUCGUGGGGGAUAACGUAGCGAAAGUUACGCUAAUACCGCAUACGAUCUAAGGAUGAAAGCGGGGGAUCGCAAGACCUCGCGCGAUUGGAGCGGCCGAUAUCAGAUUAGGUAGUUGGUGGGGUAAAGGCUCACCAAGCCAACGAUCUGUAGCUGGUCUGAGAGGACGACCAGCCACACUGGAACUGAGACACGGUCCAGAGUCCUACGGGAGGCAGCAGUGGGGAAUUUUGGACAAUGGACGCAAGUCUGAUCCAGCCAUUCCGGGUGCAGGAUGAAGGCCCUCGGGUUGUAAACUGCUUUUGUACGGAACGAAAAGGUCUCUCUUAAUACGGGGGGCUCAUGACGGUACCGUAAGAAUAAGCACCGGCUAACUACGUGCCAGCAGCCGCCGUAA
rnacentral:rRNA from 1 species